rnacentral:siRNA from 1 species
UGUAUAGCACAGGUUAUGAUCUA